ACCUCAUUAGCUCAGGGGUAGAGCAUGCAGUAGUCUCGUAAACUGAAUAUGGUGAGUUCGAAUCUCUCAUGAGGUU